rnacentral:rRNA from 1 species
UGGGGAAUAUUGCACAAUGGGCGGAAGCCUGAUGCAGCAACGCCGCGUGCGGGAUGACGGCCUUCGGGUUGUAAACCGCUUUCGCCUGUGACGAAGCGUGAGUGACGGUAAUGGGUAAAGAAGCACCGGCUAACUACGUGCCAGCAGCCGCGGUGAUACGUAGGGUGCGAGCGUUGUCCGGAUUUAUUGGGCGUAAAGGGCUCGUAGGUGGUUGAUCGCGUCGGAAGUGUAAUCUUGGGGCUUAACUCUGAGCGUGCUUUCGAUACGGGUUGACUUGAGGAAGGUAGGGGAGAAUGGAAUUCCUGGUGGAGCGGUGGAAUGCGCAGAUAUCAGGAGGAACACCAGUGGCGAAGGCGGUUCUCUGGGCCUUUCCUGACGCUGAGGAGCGAAAGCGUGGGGAGCGAACAGGCUUAGAUACCCUGGUAGUCCACGCUGUAAACGGUGGGUACUAGGUGUGGGGUCCAUUCCACGGGUUCCGUGCCGUAGCUAACGCUUUAAGUACCCCGCCUGGGGAGUACGGCCGCAAGGC